rnacentral:rRNA from 1 species
GAUGAACGCUAGCUACAGGCUUAACACAUGCAAGUCGAGGGGCAGCAUGGUCUUAGCUUGCUAAGACUGAUGGCGACCGGCGCACGGGUGAGUAACACGUAUCCAACCUGCCGUCUACUCUUGGACAGCCUUCUGAAAGGAAGAUUAAUACAAGAUGGCAUCAUGAGUCCGCAUGUUCACAUGAUUAAAGGUAUUCCGGUAGACGAUGGGGAUGCGUUCCAUUAGAUAGUAGGCGGGGUAACGGCCCACCUAGUCUUCGAUGGAUAGGGGUUCUGAGAGGAAGGUCCCCCACAUUGGAACUGAGACACGGUCCAAACUCCUACGGGAGGCAGCAGUGAGGAAUAUUGGUCAAUGGGCGAGAGCCUGAACCAGCCAAGUAGCGUGAAGGAUGACUGCCCUAUGGGUUGUAAACUUCUUUUAUAAAGGAAUAAAGUCGGGUAUGGAUACCCGUUUGCUAUGUACUUUAUGAAUAAGGAUCGGCUAACUCCGUG